rfam:Tetrahymena thermophila SB210 genomic scaffold scf_8254667, whole genome shotgun sequence.
CAACGAUAUCACAUAUAUAGUGUAUUGUUAACAAAUUUAUGCAGACAUUGAAUAUUGAGAGUCUACACAUGUUCCUCCUCUUAAUGAAGGAACGUGCAAAAAAAUCAAUUACAAUUU